AUGAUGAAUUGCAAACCGUGAGGACUGUCCCCGGCCCACAGGAUUGGACCUCCUUGCUAUGCUGACAGCUGGAUCUGUUCAUCAACUCACCACCUCUGCCCAGGCUCCAUGACCUGGCCAAGCCCCAGGCUAUCACUGUGGUACAGCGGCUCCAGCACCCAGUAAAACCCAAAAUACAACAAAGGAGAACAGAAGCUAGGUCUGUUGUCGUCUGGAUGAUUAUAGCACAAGUGAAACAGAAGAAUAAGAGAUUUGAAGGCGUUAAUGCUGGAAAUAGUGAUGGAUAAUCACUAUGCUUCUGAGCUAGGGAAGAAAAUGAAGCCUGAAGAUAAUUUGGAAACCAGGAGAACUGAGACAAGGGGAAAAGAGGGAGAAGCAGAAUCAUCACUAUCCAGCUCCCCAAGUAAUAUGAGAUCCAAAGCUGGCUGCUGUGGUGUAUGCCUGUAAUCCCAGCUACUCAGGAGACUGAGUUGGAAGGAUCUCUUGAGCCCAGGAAUUUAAGACCAGCCUGGGCAACAUAGCAAGACCCUGUCUCAAACAAACAAAUAAUAUGAGAUCCUUUGAGGUAAGCUUUACAGUAAACAUACAUUUCUAACAUUCUAUUCUUACCCAGUGAAAAUCUACAAAAUAAAUCUAAAAUUACCCACAAACCUGUUGUUU
rnacentral:lncRNA from 1 species